GAUAAGCAUCGUCAUCUGCUAUUGCACUUUUUAAUGAUUUGAAUUAUUUACUGAGCUCCUGCUCUAGGAAGGAAGGGGAUCAGCUAAACAUCGCGCUGAAGGAGAAUGAUUUCUUUGCUGGGCCUACAGUGCCACCUACAGCACCAAGCUUGCAGCUGAAAAUAAGUUUUAGGUGGGCCAUAUAUGGAUGUAUUUGUCAUCGUGAAUGGCAACAGGCUAAAGAGCUGACAGCCCUUGCUGUCUUGCUCUAA
rnacentral:lncRNA from 1 species